rnacentral:ncRNA from 1 species
CGGCGGGUGUGAGUCCCGUCUGGGUAGGUACUGGAGCGCCCAGUAGCAGGUCCCAGUCCGUUGGAGAGAUCUGGCGGGCCGAGCGGGAUGUCGAAAGCCUCUGUGGAGGGAGCAAGCGCGCGGGCCGU